GAUGAAGAACGCAGCGAAACGCGAUAGCUAGUGUGAAUUGCAGAUUUUCGUGAAUCAUCGAGUCUUUGAACGCACAUUGCGCCCCCUGGUAUUCCGGGGGGCAUGCCUAUUCGAGCGUCGUGGUCACGCUUCAAGCCCGGCUUGAUGAUGGGGAACGCCCUCUCUCGGGGGGGGGCCUCCUUCAAAUGCAACUCCAGACGCCUCGUUGGCUGGGAGCGCAGCAGCAGUGCGCUUCCCCAAGGCGACCGGAUGCCCCUCGUGGGCUCGAGAUUGCUAGACCUCGAAUUAGGCAGGGACACCCGCUGAACUUAAGCAUAUCAAUAAGCGGAGGA
rnacentral:misc_RNA from 1 species